AAAACUCUGUUGUUAGGGAAGAACAAGUACAAGAGUAACUGCUUGUACCUUGACGGUACCUAACCAGAAAGCCCCGGCUAACUACGUGCCAGCAGCCGCGGUAAUACGUAGGGGGCGAGCGUUGUCCGGAAUUAUUGGGCGUAAAGCGCGCGCAGGCGGUCCUUUAAGUCUGAUGUGAAAGCCCACGGCUUAACCGUGGAGGGUCAUUGGAAACUGGAGGACUUGAGUACAGAAGAGGAGAGUGGAAUUCCACGUGUAGCGGUGAAAUGCGUAGAGAUGUGGAGGAACACCAGUGGCGAAGGCGACUCUCUGGUCUGUAACUGACGCUGAGGCGCGAAAGCGUGGGGAGCGAACAGGAUUAGAUACCCUGGUAGUCCACGCCGUAAACGAUGAGUGCUAGGUGUUAGGGGGUUUCCGCCCCUUAGCGCUGAAGUUAACGCAUUAAGCACUCCGCCUGGGGAGUACGGCCGCAAGGCUGAAACUCAAAAGAAUUGACGGGGGCCCGCACAAGCGGUGGAGCAUGUGGUUUAAUUCGAAGCAACGCGAAGAACCUUACCAGGUCUUGACAUCCUCUGACCACCCUAGAGAUAGGGCUUUCCCUUCGGGGACAGAGUGACAGG
rnacentral:rRNA from 1 species